GAUGAACGCUAGCUACAGGCUUAACACAUGCAAGUCGAGGGGUAACGAGAGGAAAGCUUGCUUUCCUUGUCGACGACCGGCGCACGGGUGAGUAACGCGUAUCCAACCUGCCCCCAACUAGGGAAUAACCUUGCGAAAGUAAGACUAAUACCCUAUAAUUUCCUCAGAUGUCAUCUGACGAGGAAUAAAGCUUUAUCGGUUGUGGAUGGGGAUGCGUCUGAUUAGCUUGUUGGCGGGGUAACGGCCCACCAAGGCAACGAUCAGUAGGGGUUCUGAGAGGCAGGUCCCCCACAUUGGAACUGGGACACGGUCCAAACUCCUACGGUAGGCAGCAGUGAGGAAUAUUGUUCAAUGGGCGGAAGCCUGAACCAGCCAAGUAGCGUGCAGGAUGCCGGCCCUAUGGGUUGUAAACUGCUUUUAUACAGGAAUAAAGUUAGCCAAGUGUGGUUAUUUGUAGGUACUGUAUGAAUAAGGACCGGCUAAUUCCGUGCCAGCCGCCGCAGUAA
rnacentral:rRNA from 1 species